AGACAGCAGCCGCCACGGGAAUACGUAGGUGGCAAGCGUUGUCCGGAUUUAUUGGGCGUAAAGCGAGCGCAGGCGGUUUCUUAAGUCUGAUGUGAAAGCCCCCGGCUCAACCGGGGAGGGUCAUUGGAAACUGGGAGACUUGAGUGCAGAAGAGGAGAGUGGAAUUCCAUGUGUAGCGGUGAAAUGCGUAGAGAUGUGGAGGAACACCAGUGGCGAAGGCGACUCUCUGGUCUGUAACUGACGCUGAGGAGCGAAAGCGUGGGGAGCGAACAGGAUUAGAUACCCCGGUAGUCCCUGUCUCUUAUAC
rnacentral:rRNA from 1 species